UACAACGCGCAGGCAGCUCUCCACCUUUCAGCUGUCUGUGACGAAAAAAAGGAGGAAAAGGUAUAGCCCGUGGCUCGGGCUGCGGCAGUGUGGAGACCUGUCGCAAUGCGGCGCAUCCCUCCGCGGAUGGCCGUGAGCGCGCAGCAAGCGGAUGCUCUGUGCGCGGAGCCGGAAAGCAUGGCG
rnacentral:ncRNA from 1 species